rnacentral:tRNA from 1 species
UCCUUGGUGGUUCAGAUGGUAAAGAAUCUGCCUGCAAUGCAGAAGACCCUGGUUCUAUCCCAGGUUUGGGAA